rnacentral:misc_RNA from 1 species
AAAGUCGUAACAAGGUUUCCGUAGGUGAACCUGCGGAAGGAUCAUUAUCGUUUGCUCGCGGCGCCGCUCAGGGCAACCUGGCGGCGCUCAGCUUGCUACCCUUGCCUAUCACACCCACUGUUACUUCCCUCGGUGGAUCCGUCCACCGCGGGGAACCCCAAACCCACUUGUAUCGAAGCAUCAAUCUUCUAACUACCAUAAUAAUCACAACUUUCAACAAUGGAUCUCUUGGCUCUG